AUUGAACGCUGGCGGCAUGCCUUACACAUGCAAGUCGAACGGCAGCACGGGAGCAAUCCUGGUGGCGAGUGGCGAACGGGUGAGUAAUAUAUCGGAACGUGCCCGGUCGUGGGGGAUAACGUAGCGAAAGCUACGCUAAUACCGCAUACGAUCUACGGAUGAAAGCGGGGGGAUCGCAAGACCUCGCGCGAUUGGAGCGGCCGAUAUCAGAUUAGGUAGUUGGUGAGGUAAAGGCUCACCAAGCCGACGAUCUGUAGCUGGUCUGAGAGGACGACCAGCCACACUGGGACUGAGACACGGCCCAGACUCCUACGGGAGGCAGCAGUGGGGAAUUUUGGACAAUGGGCGCAAGCCUGAUCCAGCAAUGCCGCGUGCAGGAUGAAGG
rnacentral:rRNA from 1 species